GCAAGUCGAACGAGAUCUUCGGAUCUAGUGGCGCACGGGUGCGUAACGCGUGGGAAUCUACCCCUUGGUUCGGAAUAACAGUUGGAAACGACUGCUAAUACCGGAUGAUGACGUAAGUCCAAAGAUUUAUCGCCGAGGGAUGAGCCCGCGUAGGAUUAGCUAGUUGGUGUGGUAAAGGCGCACCAAGGCGACGAUCCUUAGCUGGUCUGAGAGGAUGAUC
rnacentral:rRNA from 1 species